rfam:Marine metagenome ctg_1101668593455, whole genome shotgun sequence.
CAGCGGGUGCAAGUCCCAGCCGGGGUAAGAGCCAGGUCGCCCCGUAGAUGGCAGCGGUCGUUGGGAGAGAUCCCAGCGGCUAAGCGCUGCGACAAGCCUUCGGGGGCAGGAGGAACCGGAGGCGCGACCGGUCGGGCCGCAACAUGA